GUGUCAGCAGCCGCGGUAAGACAGAGGGUGCGAACGUUGCUCGGAAUCACUGGGCGUAAAGCGCGUGUAGGCGGACGAUCAAGUCAGGUGUGAAAUCCCUGGGCUCAACCCAGGAACUGCAUCUGAAACUGGUUGCCUUGAGUGUUGGAGAGGGAAGCGGAAUUCCUGGUGUAGAGGUGAAAUUCGUAGAUAUCAGGAGGAACACCGGUGGCGAAGGCGGCUUCCUGGACAAUUACUGACGCUGAGACGCGAAAGCGUGGGGAGCAAACAGGAUUAGAUACCCUGGUAGUCC
rnacentral:rRNA from 1 species